AAUUAGAAAGCGAUUUAUUGCAUUUAGUUUCGACCUAAACUUAAGGCCUCUAGCCUUCUAAUUA
rnacentral:tRNA from 1 species